rnacentral:rRNA from 1 species
GAUAAAUCGUGGCCAGUGGACGCGGUAAGACGGAGGAUGAGAGCGUUAUCCGGGAUCAAUGGGUUUAAAGGGGUCGUAGGAGGGCUUAUAAUGCAGAGGUGAAAGCACUGAGCUCAACUGAGUAACUGCCUGUGAAACUGUAGGUCUUGAAUGUUUGUGAAGUAGCUGGAAUGUGUAGUGUAGCGGUGAAAUGCAUAGAUAUUACACAGAACACCGAUUGCGAAGGCAUGUUACUAACAAAUUAUUGACGCUGAUGGACGAAAGCGUGGGGAGCGAACAGGAUUAGAUUCCCUUGUAGUC